UGGGGAAUAUUGCGCAAUGGGGGAAACCCUGACGCAGCGACGCCGCGUGAGCGAAGAAGGCCUUCGGGUCGUAAAGCUCUGUUGUAAGGGACGAAGGUUACCUGUGUGAAUAAUGCAGGUAAGUGACGGUACCUUACUAGAAAGCCCCGGCUAACUACGUG
rnacentral:rRNA from 1 species